rnacentral:rRNA from 1 species
AUGGUUGUUGAAUUUCGCCGCACCCGAUAUGAAGAGCAUGUUGUUGAUGGUUUCUUGCCGAGGGAUUGGCAUGGUUAUUCGGUUUACUUGGGUUCGGAGGUGAUUGGGGUAGAUCGCAACAAACGGAAAAAUAGGAGGGUGACGAUUAAGUUGCGUUGCCCUGGAUAUGAAGCUUCAUAUGCAGAUAGGUCGUACUAUGGGCCUCCUGAUUUUUUUGCCAAUACUGUGGUGCUUCCUUCUGGUAUGCCGAGUGUUCUAAGGCCAAGUCAUCAUGGACACUGCGUAAGAUGGUUUACUAUCGCUGUUGUAAAGGCGCAAAGGUAUGUGUCCCCCCCCUUUAAGGAUCCCCCGGCCUAUCUCCAGGAGCUCCUUUGGUUCAAUGGUACUUCUCGUGCUAAAAAAUUCCUCCGGUCUAUACGUGAGUACAAUUGUAUGUUCGCCUUCACUUUGAUGUGUGCUACUAUCGAGCGUUCGUUUGGUGGUAGCCGGGGGCCUAAGAUUUUUAAGAUUAGUGGUCAGGUGUCGCAUCGUAUUGGUUCGUUGGUGGCUAAAGGUGAUGAUACCCUGAAGUUUGCUGAGUUGUACAUACAUGACCCAGCUAAUGAGAUCAAGCAUAGGAUGAAUGCCUUGAAUCCAGAAGAUAAGCCUACUGGGGGUGUGGAUGAGAAUAUUGUGGUUGGUCUGAGAGACAUGCUUAAUGUAUCUAACCCAUUGGUGCAAACCUUUAGGAAGGCGAGUAGGAUGAUAGAGGGACGUGGGGAUGAGCCCAUCGAGGAUAUCUCAAUUCGUAUUAUUGGGUCUUCAAAGGGUGAUAGUCCACAAUUUAGCUUGCCUACAACCACUGGACUUGCUGCUCUAAUAAUAUCCUCUCUGAAUACUGCGUUCAUGCCACUGCAGUACCCGCUGCUUUUCCCUUAUGGAGAGAGGGGGUUUCAGAUCGAUGUUCCUCACCUGAUUGUUCCUAAAGAAGAUGGUAAUGACGGGCCUGUUGAUCCUAAUCACACCCUUGGAAGUCCACCUGAUGAGGCAUCCUCUUCGUAUCCUGCUGGUGGUGGUGAUGAUUCCACAAAUAGUCGAAAUAGGAUGACCAUGCAGGAUUACUAUCAUUUUAUGUGUCACUAUAGAAGUGAUCAGCCUAAUCCCUAUAUAUGUUAUGGCCUUCUCUCCUCCCAAGUGGUAGUCGAUGCGCCUGCAUGCAUUGAUGAAAAUAGGCCGUGGUACAUCUUAAGAAACCAGGAUAUGCUUAGAUCGAAGCACAUGCAGGGCAUUGCUGAUGUGGUAGGUGAUAGGUGUGUUGAUGGUGAUGCUCCUGGGAAGAGAACUAUUGUACCUUCCAGUCAUACUGGUGGUCGUCGCUAUUACAAUGAAAAUUUCCAUGAUGGUCUCGCAGUUUGUCAAGUGCACGGUGCGCCAGAUGUGUUUACCACUUUUACUUGUAAUCCCAAAUGGCCUGCAAUCACCAAUGCAUUGGAGCCCGGUCAAAUGCCUUCUGACAGGGCAGAUGUUGUUGUUAGGGUCUAUCACAUGAAGCUCAUCGAGUACUUAGACGAGAUCAAAUCCGGACGGGCUUUUGGUGCUGUUACUGCUGAGGGGGAGGGUCUCCGGUCAUACAAUGGUCAUCUUUACAAUACUUUUAAAGAGGCAUGUGCUGCCCGUGGUUUGUUAGGGGACGACAACGAGUGCAUGUCCGAUGACAUCCAGCAUAGGCUGCGGUACGCCCUAGGUAAUAAGAAUUAUGUCGUUCCUCCUGAAAGAUUGAGAUGCAUGCUUCUUGACGAGCUGGCCGAUGUUUUCUUGAAGCAUGGCUCUGAUAUUAGAAACUUUAAUCUGCCGUCUUGCUCUGGCGAGAAUCAACAAUCUGAAGAUAAUCGUUUAAUUUGUGAGGAGUUGUGUUAUGAUGCAUCUGUUUUGUCCAAACAGGCCUUGGUCAUAGGCUCCCAGCUCUGUAAGUUGUUGAUGGUCACUUCGCUUAUUAUUUGGGACGAAGCACUUAUGGCACACAGGAAGUGCUUCGAGGCUGUAGACAGGUCUCUCCGUGAUGUUCUUUCCGUGAGUAAUCCAGAUCUUGCGGAUAUACCGUUUGGUGGAAUAGUGAUGGUCUUGGGUGGUGACCUUAGACAGAUCUUGCCGGAAGAUGACUAUGUAAUACUGAUUCCUCAUUCCCACAUCUUUGCCCUCAUCCUGCAAGCUCUCAAGUUGCCUCCUACGACUUACCAUCACAAGACAUAUCCGGGCAACGAGUCUCAUGUGAUGGUUACCUUCAAUUCAUCUAUGCAGUUGAUCGAUGGUUUACUUGUUCCAAUCUCGAUAUCUGGUGUGAUCUCAAAGAACUGUGAUGAAGCAGAAGGCAGUGCUGCUAUGGCAGCCAUUAGGUUUAUGAAGGAUGUAUGUGGCAAGGAAAUCAGGGAUUAUCACUACAUCCAUGUUAAAAGGCUGGAAAAUGAGGUGACGCACCGGGUAAGGUUGCUGGUUGCAGCAAACAAGACAAUAAAGAAGGCACGCAGAGGAUGGUACUAUGCUGUCAGAUACAUGAGCUCGUAUUCUAAUCAGAUAAAGAAUACGACAGCUGCUUGGCGCCUAAGAGGGCAGGUCAUCACAAAAGGGCUAUGA